rnacentral:lncRNA from 1 species
GCAAAUAAUUUUGCGAAACGAAACCUGUGUUUAAAACCAAUUACACAAUAAGUUCGUUUCCCGUAUUUGUCACCAGUCCGCGUAGAUGCAUCAUCUCAUAGAAAUAGAGUUGUCCAAAUGUGGACAGGUGGAAGACGUCAAGUUAAAGUAUUGAAUAUUAAAUAAUCAUUUGGAAUUUUCUUGUUUCAUAGAUAAUAAAAAAAUAUCGUUCAUUUGGAUAAAAAAUGGGAAUGCAUGACAACAGAUUAACCCGAUAUUCUCGUUUUUCCAGUUGACGAGUCUAUUACGUUUUUUGACACGUGUGUUGAAACUUAUUUUCGUACGACGUUUUUACAUUUUUUUUCUUUAUCAGUUUUCGAGCUUGAAGAUCAUUAUUCACCAAGUUUUCUGGAAUUGAUUAAGAGCUACGCGAAUCUGUUUUUAAUGUUUGUGAAAUGACGAUUUAAUUUUGUCUUUGUCCGUCCGUCAUCGAACAUAUUUUUCUGUCUUGAAAAAUAUUUAUUUUCUUUUUUUUUUACCGACCGACCGACCCGACUUUUUCAUGGAUAAAAUCCGUAAACCAACAAAUUAAAAAACCCUGGCCUUA